AUUUAAGUAGUUUAAUAAAAAUUUUGGCCUGUGGGUCCAAGGAUAUACACUAGUAUCUUAGAUU
rnacentral:tRNA from 2 species